GAAAUUGUGCACUCAGGGAGCUCAGAUUUUGAGGCAGUAGCUUGCUGAUGCUCCCAGCUGAAUAAAGCCCUUCCUUCUACGACUCGUUGUCUGAGAGGUUUUGUCUGUGGCUCGUCCUGCUACAUUUCUUGGUUCCCUGACAGGGAAACGAGGUGACUGAUGGAUGGCCGAGGCAGCCCCUUAGGCAGCUUAGGCCUGCCCCGCGGAGCAUCCCUGCAGGGGACUCCGGCCAGCCUGAGUGACGCGAUCCAAAGAGCGCUCCCGGUUAGGAAAUUGCCCCCAUUGGAACGCCUUGCCAGAGCAGCACGUAGCAGGCCCCCGUGGAGGAUCCACACAGUGGCUGAACACUGGGAAGGAACUGGCGCUUGGAGUCUGGACAUCUAAAAGUUGGACAUGAGACUUCACAACCUGCUAAAAAUGAACUUUCCAGACCUACCAAUCUAGGAAUAAACCGUCCUAGCCAGGAAAGGUCAGAUGACCUUUCCUGAGACUGGAGACUCAUUCUGUUGUAAAAAUGCUUUCUCCAAAGAUGUUAAAAAAGAAAAGGGGAAAAUGUGAAAGAAAAAUAUCUUGGGUCCCUUCAAGAUGGGAACUGCUCAGGGCAAAUCUGCCUUCUAUUCUAUUCAAGUCAUCCAUUUGCUCACAGAGACAGAUGCAUAUUCUGAUUGCCUCCUUUGGAAAGACUUAUCAGAAACUCAAAAGAAUGCAACCAUCUGUCUCUCACCUACCUGUUACUUCGAAGCCCCCAAUAGGGGGUCUUGCUUUGAGCUGUCUCCGCCUUUCCGGACGGAACUAAUGUACUUCUUACAUAGUGAUUGAUGUCUCAUGUCUCCCUAAAAUGUAUAAAACCAAGCUGUGGCCGGACCACCUUGGGCACAUGUCAUCAGGACUUCUUGAGGCUAUGUCACUGGGCAUGUCUUCAACCUUGGCAAAAUAAACUUUCUAAAU
rnacentral:lncRNA from 10 species